AGGACGAACGCUGGCGGCGUGCUUAACACAUGCAAGUCGAGCGGAAAGGCCCUUCGGGGUACUCGAGCGGCGAACGGGUGAGUAACACGUGAGUAAUCUGCCCCUAGCUCUGGGAUAGCUCCGGGAAACCGGGAUUAAUACCAGAUACGACCACUUUAGACAUCUUCUGUGGUGGAAAGAACUUCGGCUAGGGAUGAACUCGCGGCCUAGUCAGCUUGUUGGUGAGGUAACGGCUCACCAAGGCGACGACGGGUA
rnacentral:rRNA from 1 species